rnacentral:rRNA from 1 species
AGAGUUUGAUCCUGGCUCAGAUUGAACGCUGGCGGAAUGCUUUACACAUGCAAGUCGAACGAUGAACCUUAGCUUGCUAAGGGGAUUAGUGGCGAACGGGUGAGUAAUAUAUCGGAACGUGCCUUGUAAUGGGGGAUAACUAGUCGAAAGAUUGGCUAAUACCGCAUACGCCCUGAGGGGGAAAGUAGGGGAUCUUCGGACCUUACGUUAUAAGAGCGGCCGAUAUCUGAUUAGCUAGUUGGUGGGGUAAUGGCCUACCAAGGCGACGAUCAGUAGCUGGUCUGAGAGGACGACCAGCCACACUGGAGCUGAGACACGGUCCAGACUCCUACGGGAGGCAGCAGUGGGGAAUUUUGGACAAUGGGCGAAAGCCUGAUCCAGCCAUUCCGCGUGAGUGAAGAAGGCCUUCGGGUUGUAAAGCUCUUUCGCAAGGGAAGAAAACUUACAUUCUAAUAAAGUGUGAGGCUGACGGUACCUUGAUAAGAAGCACCGGCUAACUACGUGCCAGCAGCCGCGGUAAUACGUAGGGUGCGAGCGUUAAUCGGAAUUACUGGGCGUAAAGCGUGCGCAGGCGGUUUGGCAAGUCAGAUGUGAAAUCCCCGAGCUCAACUUGGGAACUGCGUUUGAAACUGCCAGACUAGAAUAUGUCAGAGGGGGGUAGAAUUCCACGUGUAGCAGUGAAAUGCGUAGAGAUGUGGAGGAAUACCAAUGGCGAAGGCAGCCCCCUGGGAUAAUAUUGACGCUCAUGCACGAAAGCGUGGGGAGCAAACAGGAUUAGAUACCCUGGUAGUCCACGCCCUAAACGAUGUCUACUAGUUGUUGGUGGAGUAAAAUCCAUGAGUAACGCAGCUAACGCGUGAAGUAGACCGCCUGGGGAGUACGGUCGCAAGAUUAAAACUCAAAUGAAUUGACGG